GGCCACACCCGAGAUGAAAAAAAAGAGCGAACUCCCUCGUCCAAUUCUAAUCAGGGGCGAGUAAUAAUCGGAAAAAAAAUAAAAAAAACCAGGGGCGGAGUGGACGAGGGGUGCGAGCUCCGAGCGGCGGUUGGGCUCCGGCGUCGUGAUGCUCCACGGCGUUGGGAGCGGCACGUGGGAUCGACGUCUCUAGAGGGUGGUCUUAGUUUCGGGCAACGCGGCGGGCCGAGCCGUCGUGUUGCGACGUCGGUAGUGCUUGGCGUCAGGGCUGCAUCUCCCGUGUGGACGGCCCCUCGUCGGCACAGUCGCCGGCGACGAACACUCGGCCGAAGACGGGGCCGCGCCAUGAACCAGGGUUUAGCGGCGUCCUCGGCUGGACGACAAGCUGGUCGUGGGUGGGCGGCGCGGCGAGUCGUGUCUACUUCUUGAAGAGGGUACAGUGGUGGUUGGCAUUCUACAUGAUGCGGGCGGUAUCUCCUCCUACGACAACGGUCGGCAACUAGCUGUUUGCAGCCCUCCGUCAUUUUACAUGAGUAUGUCUUGAUUUACUCUCCCAUGCGAAAUAUUUGCUUGAAUUAAGUUAGAUCAGUAAGAAAACUAGGUAGCAGAAUUAGGAUGGAUUACGUCCCCAAAUAUAUUUCUUUUGGGCAUAGCUAUCAUACAAGCUUACAUCAGAUUGGCAGCUGUUCAUUUCUACAAAAUUCUGGUGUAGUGUUGUGAUUUCCCAGAUGAGUGUUGUGUUAUGUGAAAAUUAUCAUUAAACAUAUGUGAAUAGGAGAAAAAAAUGUAAAAUAGCACAAAACAGAUACAUCCAGCAAGGUAUUUUCUAUGGAAUGGUUUCAAUGCUCAAUGUUAUGAAAAACACAUCCGCAUGCACAUUACAUAUGGAGCACGAUGCGCCGCCUAGAACUAGUCAGAUAUUUUACUUUGCACGAAAUUUGGUGAUCUUAACCACAGAAAAUAAAAAAAUACCUCAAAUGUAUUUUCAUUACUAUCAAAUUUAAUGUGAUUUGAUUGUUAUUAUCGGGGAGGUGAUACGUUCUAUUUUGCAAGCGUUCAUAGGACCAAAGCCAGAGUUUACAGCAGUUAUGGGAGAAAACAAAGAAGGGUGGGGAUUAGGACCCAGCGGCCACAGACGAAAUCUGAACCCAAAGUACCAAACCACGUUUCGUUUUGUUUUUUAGGCCCCUAUGCUUCUAGAACUAUUAUCCAAUUUGAUGGCUGCUACUUGGUGCGUGUGCUGGGUGUCCAUGAGGUACUUCUCGGCAGCAGCAUUGCCUCUCAAUUUGCCAACAAGAUCCAUUCAGAUUGUUUAAUCACUGACUCUAGGAUCCAUGCCUACUCUAGGUAGAACUUCAGUAAGCUGCAGAAAUAAACAAUAGAAAGGGUAAAGAACCACUAAGCAUGCCAUUUACCUGAUAUGGCCCAGAUUGUUUUAUUUGAACACCAUAUGGUCCAAAUUGUAACCAAGUAAAACUGCAUGCUCGUCAAAUUUUGUAUGAUGAAACCAUAAUAUUAGCACUCUGAAUGCACGUUUUGAUUGACUACUACCCUGGAUGUCAUCCAUGUUAUUAGCUAUGUUUUGUUACAGGGGAUUUUGGGUACUGCCUGGAUGUGUUGCUUGAGCAGAAGACUUCCAUGUUUUUGUUCAUAGACCGUGUCAUUCUUAUUUUUCUUGUACUUAUCAUGUACUCCCUCCGUCCCAUAAUAUAAGAACGUUUUUGACACUAGUGUAGUGUCAACAACGUUCUUAUAUUAUGGGACAGAGGGAGUAGAUGUCAUGGUUUAUGGAAGAGUGUUCGGUUCAGCCAUAUACCAUAUACAUGUUGCCUAACAAGUUUGUUUUCUCAAUACAGAAGCUGUACAAUUAUAUGAAACUGAAAAUAUUUAGUUUUCUGGCCAUAACUCUGAAUUUUUAGUGACUUGUUGCUUCAUUAUGUGGUCAAUUUUUGGUUGCUACUAGCUUGCUGUAAUAUAGACUGUUGACUUGGACGAUAUAAUUUAUCAUGUUCCUUAAAAAAAAUUAUGUACAAUUUCUUCUCAUGGAUGUUAAUUAUCAUGUCAAGCUUUAAGCUCACACUCUUGGAGAUUUUUUGUUUACGAGGAGAAAUCAGAGGUUUGAGGUUCCUUUUGUUACUGUAUAGUUCUCUCAUUUUGAUCAUUAACAUAAUUCAAUUAGUUUUUGUUCUCAUCGGUCUACGACAUCAGUCGGAUUCAGAAAUUACGCUGGGUAAAACCUAUGUGUUUUGUAGUCUUUUUUUACGUUCCUUUUUGUCGUAAAAUUACAUCAAUAGCAUCUGGUUUCUUACAGCGAUUACCCUGGUUUAGUUCCUCACACAUCCACAACGUAACUUGCCUUGCAUGCACAUCGUAAGAUUACCUCAGAAGCCCUUUCUUACGGUGGUUCAGAGCGUGUGCUCGUGGGUGUGGCAUGUGGUUCGUCUGUGAGUUUCGUUUUCACAGCUUCCUAUCAGAUGGGCCAGAAAAUUUGCUAUGGGCCACGAGCCGCUGCCUACCCGGCUCCAGCCGAAUGCGCGCCGGCCGCUCUGGCAUGGCGGCGGGUUCAGCCUCGGCGUGGACCUAAAUGCUUCAUUUUUACAAAAAAAAAAUAUAUGUUUGUUUGAAAUACAGUCUGCAGUCCUCUAAUUCAUCUUAUCCAAACUUCUACCUUUCCAGCAACGCCGGAGGCAGUUGACGGGCGGCGCCCCUGUCGUCGGACGGCUACAACGGUGAUGGAGGAGAAGGUGGACGUCGUGGGUGCGUGCUUGGGUAAGGGAGGCCACCCUUGCUGUGCUCGUGGGCGUUCAUGGAGGAUGGAAGGGGGGACAACUUCCUGUGGAUGCGCAGGCUAUGCUCGUGGGUGUUCAUGGAGGAUGGAAGGUGGGACAGCAUUCUGUGGGUACGCCGACCGUUCGCCGCCAGCGCCGGCCGGCCUCCCCCGCCAGUCCUCUCCAGACUCCUUUGUCGUAUCCGUCUCAACCUCCAA